AUACUUACCUGGCAGGGGGGAUACCACGAUCACGAAGAUGGUUUUCCCUGGGUGAGGCUUAUCCAUUGCACUCCAGAUGUGCUGACCCCUGAGAUUUCCCCAAAUGUGGGAAACUCGACUGCAUAAUUAAAAU
ensembl:snRNA U1 U1 spliceosomal RNA